GACGAACGCUGGCGGCGUGCUUAACACAUGCAAGUCGAACGGAAAGGCCCUGCUUUUGUGGGGUGCUCGAGUGGCGAACGGGUGAGUAACACGUGAGUAACCUGCCCUUGACUUUGGGAUAACUUCAGGAAACUGGGGCUAAUACCGGAUAGGAGCUCCUGCUGCAUGGUGGGGGUUGGAAAGUUUCGGCGGUUGGGGAUGGACUCGCGGCUUAUCAGCUUGUUGGGGGGGUAGUGGCUUACCAAGGCUUUGACGGGUAGCCGGCCUGAGAGGGUGACCGGCCACAUUGGGACUGAGAUACGGCCCAGUCUCCUACGGGAGGCAGCAGUGGGGAAUAUUGCACAAUGGGCGGAAGCCUGAUGCAGCAACGCCGCGUGCGGGAUGACGGCCUUCGGGUUGUAAACCGCUUUCGCCUGUGACGAAGCGUGAGUGACGGUAAUGGGUAAAGAAGCACCGGCUAACUACGUG
rnacentral:rRNA from 1 species